rnacentral:rRNA from 1 species
GUGGGGAAUAUUGGACAAUGGGCGAAAGCCUGAUCCAGCCAUGCCGCGUGUGUGAAGAAGGUCUUCGGAUUGUAAAGCACUUUAAGUUGGGAGGAAGGGCAGUAAGUUAAUACCUUGCUGUUUUGACGUUACCGACAGAAUAAGCACCGGCUAACUUCGUGCCAGCAGCCGCGGUAAUACGAAGGGUGCAAGCGUUAAUCGGAAUUACUGGGCGUAAAGCGUGCGCAGGCGGCUUUGUAAGACGGAUGUGAAAGCCCCGGGCUCAACCUGGGAACUGCCUCCAAAACUGCAUGACUAGAGUACGGUAGAGGGUAGUGGAAUUUCCUGUGUAGCGGUGAAAUGCGUAGAUAUAGGAAGGAACACCAGUGGCGAAGGCGACUACCUGGACUGAUACUGACACUGAGGUGCGAAAGCGUGGGGAGCAAACAGGAUUAGAUACCCGGGUAGUCC